UACAGAGGGUGCAAGCGUUAAUCGGAAUUACUGGGCGUAAAGCGCAUGUAGGUGGAUAGAGAAGUUUGAUGUGAAAUCCCUGGGCUUAACCUGGGAAUGGCGUUGAAUACUGGCUGUCUAGAGUGAGAAAGAGGGUCGUGGAAUUUCCGGUGUAGCGGUGAAAUGCGUAGAGAUCGGAAAGAACACCAGUGGCGAAGGCGGCGACCUGGUUCUUAACUGACACUGAGGUGCGAAAGCGUGGGGAGCAAACAGG
rnacentral:rRNA from 1 species